rnacentral:rRNA from 1 species
UGACUGGGGCGGUCUCCUCCUAAAGAGUAACGGAGGAGCACGAAGGUUGGCUAAUCCUGGUCGGACAUCAGGAGGUUAGUGCAAUGGCAUAAGCCAGCUUGACUGCGAGCGUGACGGCGCGAGCAGGUGCGAAAGCAGGUCAUAGUGAUCCGGUGGUUCUGAAUGGAAGGGCCAUCGCUCAACGGAUAAAAGGUACUCCGGGGAUAACAGGCUGAUACCGCCCAAGAGUUCAUAUCGACGGCGGUGUUUGGCACCUCGAUGUCGGCUCAUCACAUCCUGGGGCUGAAGUAGGUCCCAAGGGUAUGGCUGUUCGCCAUUUAAAGUGGUACGCGAGCUGGGUUUAGAACGUCGUGAGACAGUUCGGUCCCUAUCUGCCGUGGGCGCUGGAGAACUGAGGGGGGCUGCUCCUAGUACGAGAGGACCGGAGUGGACGCAUCACUGGUGUUCGGGUUGUCAUGCCAAUGGCACUGCCCGGUAGCUAAAUGCGGAAGAGAUAAGUGCUGAAAGCAUCUAAGCACGAAACUUGCCCCGAGAUGAGUUCUCCCUGAGACUUAAAGUCUCCUGAAGGAACGUUGAAGACGACGACGUUGAUAGGCCGGGUGUGUAAGCGCAGCGAUGCGUUGAGCUAACCGGUACUAAUGAACCGUGAGGCUUAACCUUACAACGCCGAAG